rnacentral:rRNA from 1 species
UACGUAGGGGGCAAGCGUUGUCCGGAAUUAUUGGGCGUAAAGAGCUCGUAGGCGGUGUGUCGCGUCGACCGUGAAAACCUGCAGCUUAACUGUGGGCGUGCGGUCGAUACGGGCAUCACUGGAGUUCGGCAGGGGAGACUGGAAUUCCUGGUGUAGCGGUGAAAUGCGCAGAUAUCAGGAGGAACACCGGUGGCGAAGGCGGGUCUCUGGGCCGAUACUGACGCUGAGGAGCGAAAGCGUGGGGAGCGAACAGG